GACUGGAUGUUAACUUGGGUGAUUUGCGCCCCACCCUGACGGUGCUGCCCCCCUCCAGUGAAGAGCUGGAGCAGGGGAAGGCCACGCUCAUGUGCCUGGCCAACAAGGGCUUCCCCUCAGACUGGAGUCUGGCCUGGAAGGUGGACGGCAGCAGCAGCAGCAGCAGCUGGGAGGAGAGCAGGAGCCCCGGGGUGCUGGAGAAGGACGGCCACUACAGCUGGAGCAGCACCCUGAGGCUCCCUGCAGACCAGUGGGGGAAGGUGGGCUCUGUGACCUGUGAGGCCACCCAGGGCUCCCAGACUCCACUCUCAGAGACACUGAGGAGAGACCAGUGUUCCCAGUCCUGAGCUGACUCACUGGCAGGGACUCUGCUACUGGUUUUACUCUGACACUGCUCUCACUCUGCUCUCUGCAACUAGCUCUGGCUUUUAUUUCACCUGUUUCAACAGACAUAUUUACCAGCUUGUUGUAAUGUUUCAAUAUUAUUUCAGUGUUUCCAGAUAAUAAAGACGUAUUCAUCA